UUACAAGACUUCGCCAUUUCAACUGUUCAUAUGCAAAAAGGCAACCAAUACAUGAGAGCAUGUUUCUAACAAAUGAAAUGAGCUUUCAGGAUAUUGUGAUGCUAAACUGCAGUGUGUCAAGGAUUUAUUAUGAAGAUACAAGAAGAUAUGGGAUCUACAGUAAACAAUCAACAAAUGCAUAGUCCAGGAAUCUCGCCAAAAGGCAACCAAUGAAUCAGAGCAUGUUCUUAACAAAUUAGUUUUCGAGGUACUACAAAGCUUCACCGCAGAGCCUCAAAAGGGAGUGUUGUGAAGAAAAAUGAGCUCUAGUAUAAUACUCAACAAGUACACAUCAUCUGAAAAUCCCUCCAAACACACGAACAACUGCCCACGUGUGUAAGUAACUAUGAAUGGUUUCACUUAGUAGAAAUCACAAGUAUCAAGCAUCGAACUCAAAACAACAAAUUGCAGUUGAGCUUCACAAAAGAAGAAAGCUUUGCUUUUGCCUAUUGGGAACAAUCCAAAAGUCCCGUUUCAAUAAACAUAAAAUACUUCCUUUCUUCAUUUGAUGAUCACGAAGAAUCUAAAGAACUCCCCUUUCUAAGAAUCUCAAACUUAUGAUAAAUCCUUGGAAAAAAUCCCGAUUUCUCCACAGGAAAAUAUUUCUCUUUCAAUCACAGAUAAACCAUCUGAUUCCUCUGUUCUAUUUUUCGCUAAAGACUCAUUCUUGUCUCAAAAGAAUAUGAUCAAGAGCCAAAAUUACAGAGCAAUACAACAAAGAUGAUCUAAAGAAAGAAGAUUGACGGUUACCGACUUACCGG